rnacentral:tRNA from 2 species
GGCGCUAUCGUCUAGGGGUUAGGAUGGAUGGUUCUCAGCCAUUUGACCGGGGUUCGAAUCCCCGUAGCGCCACCA